rnacentral:rRNA from 1 species
UACGUAGGGGGCAAGCGUUGUCCGGAUUUAUUGGGCGUAAAGAGCGUGUAGGCGGUUUGGUAGGUCCGCUGUGAAAACUCGAGGCUCAACCUCGAGACGCCGGUGGAAACCAUCAGGCUAGAGUCCGGAAGAGGAGAGUGGAAUUCCUGGUGUAGCGGUGAAAUGCGUAGAGAUGUGGAGGAACACCAAUGGCGAAGGCACUCUACUGGGCCAUUACUGACACUGAGAGACGAAAGCUAGGGGAGCAAAUGGG